UCCCCUCUGGUCUCCUCACUCUCUUACUAUAUCCGCCGCCGCCGUCGCCGCCGUAGCGCCAUCCCUACUGGACUCGGAGAUCUUCCUCUUCCUCUCGGUAGGACCCGCCCCCCGGCCAGUUCUUGGCAGGUGACCCGGUGCGUCUCUGUUUUUCGGCAGCUCACGCCAAUGGCCCAAGCGCAGACACCGGAGGCACAAGGCGGCGCUGUCGGCGGAGCCAGGAGAAGCCGCGGCCCUCCUAAUUCUUGAGCUCCACAGAAAGCAGCGAUCUCUAUUCCUCUGCCUAUCGCCGCCUCAAUGAUACCAAGCGUGGACAGAGAUUAACCAGGGUAGUAUUGUGCGUGGAUAGGACUAGGAGUGACAUUGACAUGCUUAUCGCUUCAGGAUGUUCUCUGUUGUGGACAAUCAUUUCGACCUGUGCCAGCCAGAUGGGUUUACAAACAAACAGAGAGGUAGCCUGCAGGUGCAAAUCCCUGAAUUUUUUGACCUGCUCUUUCUCUGAAACGCCCAUGUCUAAUGGGAGGGAGAAGAAGGUACUUGGAGUUGGGAGGGCCUGGAACUCACUAUAAUUUUCUAGUUUCUGCACCUUCUGUCUUUGGUUUCUGUAGGAUGCUCCUCAGCAGGCAAGAAUCUUCCCCUUCGCUCAACAUUCAUUUAUCUUCGACUUAUUUUAUAACACAUUACAUAGUUGGUAGCUAAACCAGAAAGGUUAACUGUUAAUCGUGCAUCUCUGAAGGUUUGAGUGAUUUCGUCUUGUGUUCCGCAUCCUGUUGCUUAGUGGACCUAGUCUUUCACAGUUUUGUGUCAGGUUAGCUUAAUUGUAUAUUGAGUAUUGACAUACGUAUUGUUUUCGUUCAGCUAUACAACAUUGACCUCGCUGGACCGCAUUAUCCAUUCAAAUAUGUGCACACAAGUGCUUUGAAAUGUUCAAGGAAUAUAAUGUAGCUUUCAAAUGUACAAUACAGUUGUAUUGUAUGUUUACGGUGUGGUUAGAGUUGUAUGACACAUGAGUACUCUUGAACAAUUAGCUGCCGUGGCAAAAUGUAUGCAUCCCUUGUGCAGCUGCUACCUGCUAGGGUAUCAGACUUUGUCCUUGGAUACAUAAAGGCAUCAAUUUCUUUAAA